GGGCAGGAAACAAAGCACACAGUAGCUCUUUCUCUUCUUCUUUCUUCCUCGCUGUUUCCCCCUCACAGACAGAGAAGGUAUCAGCGUUGGAACAAAGGGGUGAAAAAAUGAGAGCUCAAAAUUUGAAUAGCGUGAGCAUGAAAAAAAAAAGAAAAAAUGUAUUGCUAUUCGUGCGCCCUCCUCUUUCCUCUCCCCGUCGACACACUCCUCCUCCAUCCCUCCCUCUUAGAUAUUUCUCCAUGAGCCCCCUAGUCUCGCUCUCUCUCUCUUUUUCCUCUCUCUCUCAGUCGCUCUCUGUCGUCUCACUUUCUCUCUCCUCCCACCUCUGCACACACACACACACACACACACACACACACAUACACACCCACCCCGGAGUCCUUCCCACUCCUUCCCCUCACGCGCGCUUUCUAUCCACUUCCAAGCUCGGUUUUAUUCCUCCUUUUUUCUUUUACUCGCCACUCUUUGCCUGGGUCGCGUCCUCGUGUUCGGAGGCGCCGUCACCCCUCCCCUGCAUGGCGCCCCUGAGAAAACGCAGGCCAUGGAUUGUCCCCGCCUAAUGACAAACUGCUUGUCCUUUCCCGUCAGCGUUUUUUUUCUAUUCUUUUGCAGUAAUUUUUUUGUCAGAGCUUGACCUCUGUUGAGAAAACCCUCUUUUUAUUUUUCAAAAAAAGCAUUUAUGAAGCAGGAAAUGAGGGCUGAAGAAAAGGAAAAGAGUGUCAGAUGAAUGGACAGAGAAAGGGGGACAGAGGCAAAGAAUGAGAGAAUGGAGAGCGUGGUCUGCGAGAGAAAGAGAGAGAGAGAGAGAGAGGUGGGAGAAAGAGUGCCGGUGCUGGCAAGAAAAACAGGAGGGGGAAGAGCAGAGAAGGGGGACCAGUAGGGGAUAAACUUUGGAAGGAGGGACGGCCGGAUAGGAAUCGUCCAAAUCGCAGGGAAAAAGAGGGAAAAGAACAAAACUCUAGAAUGAGAAGAAGCUGGACUUCAUUUCUUUGCGGUCGUAUAUUUUUUUUUCUGGCUCCUUGACAUGAUUUUUCAUCACUUCUCCGAUCACCCUCUCAUUCCUCUGUUGAGGUUCUGAGAGAAGACGUUUUUUAUCAGGAAUGCCGUGGUCAACCAUAGAAGCUCCCCAGUGAGAGGAGAGCCAUGGGAAAACCUCAGACUAGAUCUUGGGCGUGAGGAUUGGAUCCAGUCUGUUUUGUACAGAUGUGCAACGCUACGUGUCGCGGUGGACUGCAGCGGCAUCGAUAAAAAAAAACAAUGUCACUGAAAACAUCCAAGACCUGCAGUCAAGAGACAGUCAUCCCCUCGCUGCCUUUUCAUUUGUAGUCUUCCUAAUGCUGCGCAAUGCACCUGAAAAUAUUUGUUCCCUUAAAAUAAUAAAAUAAAUAAAAUAAUAAAAGUGGUGAAAAGUUGUUGUUUUGUUGAAUACCAUGUACAUCCAAUAAAUACUGAAAAUGUUGUUUUGAAACCUGAUUGGAUGCUUUUACUUGUGUUUGUGGUAUGUAAGCAGCAUAGGAUACAUUUUUCCUCACGCAGUCAGCAGUUUAUUGUGUGGUAAACAUUUAAGAACAGCGUGACAAUCAUCAGCGUUUGAAAUUAGGCACCUACAGAAAACACAUAACUCUUC
ensembl:lncRNA